UACGGAGGGUGCAAGCGUUAUCCGGAUUCACUGGGUUUAAAGGGUGCGUAGGAGGGCAGGUAAGUCAGUGGUGAAAUCCUAGAGCUUAACUCUAGAACUGCCGUUGAUACUAUCUGUCUUGAAUAUUGUGGAGGUGAGCGGAAUAUGUCACGUAGCGGUGAAAUGCUUAGAUAUGACAUAGAACACCAAUUGCGAAGGCAGCUCGCUACACAUAUAUUGACUCUGAGGCACGAAAGCGUGGGGAUCAAACAGG
rnacentral:rRNA from 1 species